rnacentral:rRNA from 1 species
AUUGAACGCUGGCGGCAGGCCUAACACAUGCAAGUCGAACGGUAGCACAGAGAGCUUGCUCUCGGGUGACGAGUGGCGGACGGGUGAGUAACGUCUGGGAAACUGCCCGAUGGAGGGGGAUAACUACUGGAAACGGUAGCUAAUACCGCAUAACGUCGCAAGACCAAAGUGGGGGACCUUCGGGCCUCACACCAUCGGAUGUGCCCAGAUGGGAUUAGCUAGUAGGUGGGGUAAUGGCUCACCUAGGCGACGAUCCCUAGCUGGUCUGAGAGGAUGACCAGCCACACUGGAACUGAGGCACGGUCCAGACUCCUACGGGAGGCAUCAGUGGGGAAUAUUGCACAAUGGGCGCAAGCCUGAUGCAGCCAUGCCGCGUGUAUGAAGAAGGCCUUCGGGUUGUAAAGUACUUUCAGCGGGGAGGAAGGCGGUGGAGUUAAUAACUUCACCGAUUGACGUUACCCGCAGAGGAAGCACCGGCUAACUCCGUGCCAGCAGCCGCGGUAA